rnacentral:lncRNA from 7 species
AGAGAUGAGGAAACGGGUGGAAAUGGGAAGGUGAGCGCCGCCUGGCUCCACAGACAGCUCCAUUGAGCCUGUGUGUUCCUGGGCUCAAGGCGGAGAUGGGGCUGUUGUGAACGUUGAGCUGCGCCUCAGGGGAACGUCCUGCGUGGGGCAGGUGGUCUCUGGAUCUGUUUUAUUAGAUGAACCUGAUCUAUGUCAUUAGCAACGGGCUCACCUUUGGUUUCAACCUGCUGAUUCACGGAUUGCACGUUGGUGAGCCUGGAACUGCGGAGGGUUGGAAUCCUUUUAGCAUUUGAACGCUUCCUUAGCAAACAUCCUGCUGUUCUAUUGUUGCCCCCCUGAAGUGCGGGAGCUCUUUUUCAGAGGGAAAAUAUCUGCAAACUCUCGGAACUGUUUGCACUUCUUUGGUCACAUCUGCUUUGCUGCAAGCAUCGCUGAGUGCGGAUCUUCAGCCUUUUAACCCUAUUCUCUAGAGCAACGAUUUUGUGCUCUAGUUCUUCCAGGCUCUUCUUUGUCACCUCUUUUUCAAGGCUCGUGGGGUGCAGCUUCUCUUUGGAGAAGAGCUGUGGGUGCUUUCCCCAGCAGCAAAAACCCGUGCAGAAAUCCUCGCAGGAUAACAGAACCUCCAGAGGAAACAUCGACGAACCAGUUUGAACUGAGAGCUCCCGAUUUCACAGUGCCUUUGGGUUGGGAAAUGUAAACGUUCAAAGAGCUGUGGCACGAUUAAAGAUUUCUUG